GCAAACUUGGUCAUUUAGAGGAAGUAAAAGUCGUAACAAGGUCUCCGUUGGUGAACCAGCGGAGGGAUCAUUAAAAAGAGUUGAAAAGCUCCUUUAAAUCCUUGUAGGACGUUUCUGCAUCGCAGCUCCCUCGGUGGGAGGCUGGAAAGAGAAAGAGGAUUGCAGGCAGUCGCCGCGGUUCUCCCUCUGUCCGGCGCCCGCCGAAGGGGAUGUACCCUAAAACUCUUACAAACUUUGCAAAUCAGAGUCAUAUUUUAAUACAUUAAAAACUUUCAACAACGGAUCUCUUGGUUCUGGCAUCGAUGAAGAACGCAGC
rnacentral:misc_RNA from 1 species